CCACAGACCACGUCUGCUUUCUCCUCUAUCCUCUUCUGCAUGGUGUGAGUGUUGGUAACCGUAAGUUUCACUUUUUACAAGAAAAAGGCUGAUCAGGACACAGAUUAACAUUCACUUCUGGUCAAGGCCGAGUCCCCAGGCCAGCACCGGGGGGCCCCAUGCUGUCCCCAGAAGGGAGCCCCGCCAGGCACUCCCUGUCCGCUGCACCCCCCCAUUCCCCACUCUCCACGCUGGGCCCCCAACUCCUCAGUCCAGGACUGCGGGGUUCGGAAAUGAAUCGGGCCCAGCCCUUCCUGGCCACGUCCAGGGCUUGGUACACCCAUGUGGCAAAGCAGCGUUAGUCACCCCAUCACCAAAAGGUGGAAGACACCUGGGAAUCCAGCCGCAGAAGAGCGGCACCCCUGUACAAGGGAGGUUUAUUCACCCAGAAGAAGGAAUGGAGCUCUGACAUCUGCUGCAGGGUGGAUGAACCUUGAGGACACGAUGCUAUGUGAAAUAAGCCAUCACCAAAGGACAAGUACCGACUAAUUCCAGAAAGCAGAAGUGAUCCUUGCAGGGAUGGGAUGUUCUAUAUCUCAACCCGAUCAGUGCCUGUUGCUCUCAUCCCUGUACUAUAGUUUUGCGAGACGUUACUGACAGGGAAACCAGGUGAAAGGUGCGUGGGAUCCUCCUGUGUUGUUUCUUACAAUUCCCUGUGAAUUAUCUCCAAACAAAACGUUCAACUAAAAGAAUACAAAUAAAAGGGAAGCACUGUGAAUUGAAGUUUGCUCUGGAGGUGCAGGAAAAGUUGGCCAACAGGUGCCCAAGCUCACCGGCCGUGGACCCUGCACCUUCGGAGAUGCCACCUGGGGUGUUUCGCCAGCUUCGGUCCUCGGCCAGCAACAGGAAACGCUGCCCGCAGGAGGUGACCUGGGAGGGUUAGGCCCCUUGGGCCUGGAGUGCCUGUCCUGUCCUCCAUCUUCAAGAGCUAUAGUUUCCUUUUUUUUUUAAUGUGAACCUUGAACAUGUUUUUCCCCAUAAUCAUGUUUGUCAUCAAGAAAUAAAAAAGAUAGCUCACCCUG